rnacentral:rRNA from 1 species
UACGUAGGGGGCAAGCGUUGUCCGGAAUCACUGGGCGUAAAGCGCACGUAGGCGGAUCUUUAAGUCAGGGGUGAAAUCCUGGAGCUCAACUCCAGAACUGCCUUUGAUACUGGGGAUCUCGAGUCCGGAAGAGGUGAGUGGAACUCCGAGUGUAGAGGUGAAAUUCGUAGAUAUUCGGAAGAACACCAGUGGCGAAGGCGGCUCACUGGUCCGGUACUGACGCUGAGGUGCGAAAGCGUGGGGAGCAAACAGG